UACGUAGGGGGCAAGCGUUGUCCGGAAUCAUUGGGCGUAAAGCGCGUGUAGGCGGUCCGGUAAGUCCGCUGUGAAAGUCGGGGGCUCAACCCUCGGAUGCCGGUGGAUACUGUCGGGCUUGAGUACGGAAGAGGCGAGUGGAAUUCCUGGUGUAGCGGUGAAAUGCGCAGAUAUCAGGAGGAACACCAAUUGCGAAGGCAGCUCGCUGGGACGGUAUUGACGCUGAGACGCGAAAGCGUGGGGAGCAAACAGG
rnacentral:rRNA from 1 species